rnacentral:lncRNA from 1 species
GGCACUCAUCAUGAUUGGGCUGUGGUGAAAAGCACACGUCAUUAUCUAUUACUAGCACUGUGGCUUGAUGCAUCUAUGACUGUGUGACAGUAUGUAUAAUAGAUGAAUGUGAAUUCCUACUUGAUGCCCAUCUUGGCGAAGACAAGCUCACACUGGAAGGAUUUUCCUUGACCCUUGCCUCCCCAGAUACCCAAGAUGAGUGGGAUCUGAAUUUCGAUUCAAGGUCAGUUCCAGAAUCAGAAUGAUUUUCUUGCUGCUAAUCAAUAGUCAUGAUGCAUACCUUGAUGUUGGGCAGGGUCAUGAAGUUCUUGGAGAGAUGGACAACAAGCUUGUCCAUGAAAGCAGGAGCGAUGUAGAAGCCUCCCAUGGUGUUGUCGAAGUCGUACUUCUUGAGUCCCUGGCUGACGUACUCGUAGGAGCUGAGGACGGCCUCGUGGGUGCCGUCGCCCGUGGGCGCCUGGAAGAGGGAGUCCACGAUGCCCUUCCCUCUGGUGAUGUCCUGCUGGUCGUCGGAGAUAUCGUAGGCAAGACCCUUCCACUUGUCUGUGUUCCUCUUCUCGUCGAUGUUUUCCGCUGCCAUGACUGUGAACCUGUUGGCCUUGGAGCUCUUGCCAUGGUAGUUCACGGCCGAG